rnacentral:rRNA from 1 species
GAUGAACGCUGGCGGCGUGCCUAAUACAUGCAAGUCGAGCGAACAGACGAGGAGCUUGCUCCUCUGACGUUAGCGGCUGACGGGUGAGUAACACGUGGAUAACCUACCUAUAAGACUGGGAUAACUUCGGGAAACCGGAGCUAAUACCGGAUAAUAUAUUGAACCGCAUGGUUCAAUAGUGAAAGACGGUUUUGCUGUCACUUAUAGAUGGAUCCGCGCCGCAUUAGCUAGUUGGUAAGGUAACGGCUUACCAAGGCAACGAUGCGUAGCCGACCUGAGAGGGUGAUCGGCCACACUGGAACUGAGACACGGUCCAGACUCCUACGGGAGGCAGCAGUAGGGAAUCUUCCGCAAUGGGCGAAAGCCUGACGGAGCAACGCCGCGUGAGUGAUGAAGGUCUUCGGAUCGUAAACCUCUGUUAUUAGGGAAGAACAAAUGUGUAAGUAACUAUGCACGUCUUGACGGUACCUAAUCAGAAAGCCACGGCUAACUACGUG